rnacentral:misc_RNA from 1 species
UUUUAAUUAUUUUUUUUCUCUUUUGUGGAGUUACACUAAUGAUUAUGUCCCUUCUAACAUGUACUUUUACUCCAAUUAAUAUUACAUUACUUUUGAACUUUUUUUAAGGGAAAUUAGUUAAUGUCCAUCAUGAGCCUCUGUUUGUUUCAUAAGCAAUAGACUUCCAGUUUUUAUCUCCCUGUUGAUCAUUGUGGAUUCAAACUACAGUUGGGGUUGAUAUUUUUAGUUUUAUUGUUCCAGGAUAUGUGCAGAAAAUAACAG